ACACAUGCAAGUCGAGGGGUAACAUUGUGCUUGCACAGAUGACGACCGGCGCACGGGUGCGUAACGCGUAUAGAACCUACCUUUUACAGAGGAAUAGCCUUUAGAAAUGAAGAUUAAUGCCUCAUAGUAUUGUGGACUGGCAUCAGUUUAUAAUUAAAGAUUUAUCGGUAAAAGAUGGCUAUGCGUCCUAUUAGUUAGUUGGUAAGGUAACGGCUUACCAAGACAGCGAUAGGUAGGGGUCCUGAGAGGGAGAUCCCCCACACUGGUACUGAGACACGGACCAGACUCCUACGGGAGGCAGCAGUGAGGAAUAUUGGACAAUGGAGGAGACUCUGAUCCAGCCAUGCCGCGUGUAGGAAGAAUGCCCUAUGGGUUGUAAACUACUUUUAUACAGGAAGAAACACUGGUAUGUAUACCAGCUUGACGGUACUGUAAGAAUAAGGACCGG
rnacentral:rRNA from 1 species